rnacentral:rRNA from 1 species
AAUGAACGCUGGCGGCGCGCCUAAUACAUGCAAGUCGAGCGAGAAGACGUAGCAAUACGUUUGUAAAGCGGCGAACGGGUGAGGAAUACAUGGGUAACCUACCCUCGAGUGGGGAAUAACUAGCCGAAAGGUUAGCUAAUACCGCGUACGCUCCUUGGACUUCGGUUCAGGGAGGGAAAGCGAUACCGUGGGUAUCGCGCUCUUGGUUGGGCUCAUGUCCUAUCAGCUUGUUGGUGAGGUAACGGCUCACCAAGGCUUCGACGGGUAGCUGGUCUGAGAGGACGAUCAGCCACACUGGCACUGCGACACGGGCCAGACUCCUACGGGAGGCAGCAGUAAGGAAUAUUGCGCAAUGGGCGAAAGCCUGACGCAGCGACGCCGCGUGGGGGA